AACACCUAAAAUGUGGAAUAUAGCAUAUAGUCGACAAGAAAAAUCUACGAAAAACAAACAAAACUUUCAACAACGGAUCUCUUGGUUCUCGCAUCGAUGAAGAGCGCAGCGAAAUGCGAUACCUAGUGUGAAUUGCAGCCAUCGUGAAUCAUCGAGUUCUUGAACGCACAUUGCGCCCCUCGGCAUUCCGGGGGGCAUGCCUGUUUGAGCGUCGUUUCCAUCUUGCGCGUGCGCAGAGUUGGGGGAGCGGAGCGGACGACGUGUAAAGAGCGUCGGAGCUGCGACUCGCCUGAAAGGGAGCGAAGCUGGCCGAGCGAACUAGACUUUUUUUCAGGGACGCUUGGCGGCCGAGAGCGAGUGUUGCGAGACAACAAAAAGCUCGACCUCAAAUCAGGUAGGAAUACCCGCUGAACUUAAGCAUAUCAAUAAGCGGAGGAAAGAGGAUCAUUACUGUGAUUUAGUACUACACUGCGUGAGCGGAACGAAAACAAAAACACCUAAAAUGUGGAAUAUAGCAUAUAGUCGACAAGAGAAAUCUACGAAAAACAAACAAAACUUUCAACAACGGAUCUCUUGGUUCUCGCAUCGAUGAAGAGCGCAGCGAAAUGCGAUACCUAGUGUGAAUUGCAGCCCUCGUGAAUCAUCGAGUUCUUGAACGCACAUUGCGCCCUCGGCAUUCCGGGGGGCAUGCCGUUUGAGCGUCGUUUCAUCUUGCGCGUGCGC
rnacentral:rRNA from 1 species